rnacentral:rRNA from 1 species
UGCGUAGACGGUACAUUAAGUUCGUCGUUAAAGGCUCCGGCCUAACCGGAGUAUUGCGAUGAAAACUGGUGAGCUAGAGGGUGAGAGAGAGAAGUGGAAUUCCCGGAGUAGCGGUAAAAUGCGUGGAUCUCGGGAGGAACACCAAUGGCGAAGGCAGCUUCUUGGCUCAUUCCUGACGUUGAGGCACGAAAGCGUGGGGAGCAAACA